GUUUGUUCCCAAGAGGAACAGACACAGCCUGCUGUAGCAUUUCACAAAGAUGGCUUGGUAAAGCUUGCUAUUUAUCCAAAUUAAGAAAAGCUUGCAGGUUGUCCAAUCGAAACACAAUGGUGAAUGUUUUACAACACUACCACCCGUUUUGUAUUGAUUGCAUCCGGAUACUAUUCCGUUCUUAAAUCACACCAUUAGAAAACUGGUAGAGUACCAAGGAUUUUUUGUAUUCAAACCUGCAUACAAAUAUAACAGACAAGUUAAAAUGCAGCACAGCUGCUUAUCUAUAAAUCCAGCAGACAUUGAGUAAUGUCAGCAUUCAUUCAAGGUCAUGUUUGUGUCCACCUACUACGUGUAAGGCAAAUAUUCACUCUUAUUUUGGCUGUUUUCAGCUGUCAGUUGCUAACUCUGUGUUUUGGUGCUGGGUAGGUAGUGUACAAUGCAUUUUUUUAAAGCUUUUUUCGCUCAAAAAAGAUGCCUGCUGUGGUCAAACAAGAUGCUGAUAAAGGCAGCAAGAAACUGAACCAAAUCUGGAAAGUUGCCGGCCAGAAAACCAUAACAAGGGCUCCCUCCCUGAUGAUCUCAUAGUAUCAGAACAUGACAUCAGAGACAUGUGACCAAAGGCCGGUACAGAUUGAGCUGCAGCUGGAGGAGUCUCUCAUCUAUAUACUCCGUUUGUUUUUACAAGCAAAAAACAUGAUGCCACUUAAUUUAUACAAGCACAUUGUGAGACUGUCUACACCGCC